rnacentral:lncRNA from 1 species
AGGCUUUGCUUGAAGAACAACAAAUAUUUCCUUUGAUAGCUUUUUUCAUUAUAUCAUUAUUUGUUUAUUAUAUCUAUGUAAGAGUAUUAUUUUUGUACUGCUUUCUUCAUUAUUUUAUUAUUUGGAACCUAAUGUCUUCACAUUCAUAAUUUGCAGAUUUAUGCAGAUCUCAAAGCCUCCCCAAAAGACUGCUUCGAAAUGUUCAACCCUAUAGACUAUUUGUAGGAUCCAAAUAGUACUGAAUACUUGAUGUAAAUAUUAUAUGAUGUGUAUGUAGGAUUUUUAAUGUUGAAUUUUAAUGUAUGAGAAUGUUGGAUGAUUAAUUAAUAUAUCAAUGUUUUAGAUAUUUAAUAUUUUAUACUAUUUAUAGAAAAAUUGAAA